CCCCUCCACUUUUCUCCUCCCCACACCCUCUUCAGGCAAGUCGGGAGGUUGAGGCACCGCCAGGUGGGCUUAAUGCUCGUCAAUGGAGGGGGUACCGCCAGGUGGGCUUAAUGCUCGCCCCUGGAGGGGGUACCGCCAGGUGGGCUUAAUGCUCGCCCCUGGAGGGGGUACCGCCAGGUGGGCUUAAUGCUCGCCCCUGGAAGGUGGUAGAGACUAGCUGGAGGUCUCCCCCUUGAAGCACAAGUCCCCCUCUACUGGC